rnacentral:rRNA from 1 species
CCUACGGGCGGCAGCAGUGAGGAAUAUUGGUCAAUGGACGAGAGUCUGAACCAGCCAAGUAGCGUGAAGGAUGAAUGCCCUAUGGGGUGUAAACUUCUUUUAUAAAGGGAUAAAAAGAGGCACGUGUGCGUUUUUGCAUGUACUUUAUGAAUAAGGAUCGGCUAACUCCGUGCCAGCAGCCGCGGUAAUACGGAGGAUCCGAGCGUUAUCCGGAUUUAUUGGGGUUAAAGGGGGCGUAGAUGGGUUGUUAAGUCAGUUGUGAAAGUUUGCGGCUCAACCGUAAAAUUGCAAUUGAUACUGGCAUUCUUGAGUACAUUUGAGGUAGUCGGAAUUCGUGUUGUAGCG